rnacentral:lncRNA from 1 species
AGCUGGCGUAUUUGAACAAACAAUAGUUCAUGAAAGGCGCCGCUCUGUAGGUCUAUUUUUGUUAGCUACGUAACGGUUGUCGUUGGGCAGCGAGAUUUAAAGCGUGGGUUUCUCUGUGGUGCAAAAUCAUCGCGCUCUCUGGGGCUUUCUAGAAGAGAGUUUAUGACAGAAUGGAUUUAUAGUGGUCACGCGCACGGUACGCAGCUCAAAAUGUCGGCAAAAGCCUCGAGAGACCUUUGAAAUGUGAAUACUCCGCGGGGACUAAAAUGCACGAUACAAUGACAAUUACAUGUAAACAAGACUUACUUGAUAUGCAGCUGUGUGAUAAAUAUCGAGCUGUCUGUUUGUGUAAGUCUGUUUGUAAAUUUGGCAAAGUUUUAAACAGAACAGAAAAAAAGGACGGAAAUUUGGCCUAUCUGGGCGGUAAUGGUGACGGAUAGUUUCGUGUUGUGUGGGGUUUCCGUGUACUCCUUCUUGCGCAGUUUCUGCUGACUGGGACAUCACGUAGCACUGAAAUUCCGGGGGGGUGAUGUGUAAACAGAGAUCUCUUCUUUACCCACGAGUAUUCAAGACUCUCCCCCCUGUGAGACAUGACGCCGUUCGUCUCACGUAUACAAUGAGUGACACUCAGCUUUAUUACUGACAGCUCAGCGCACCGGAAGUCGCAUUGUUUCUUAAGAGAAAUAAAGGAUGGCCGUCUGCGUUUGAAACCCGAAGCUGUUAUUACACAGCUCUAAAGGUUUUGGCUAAAUUUUUAUUGGCUAGAUGGUUUCUUUCAAUUUUCCACAACACCGACCGCUUGAUAAGACAUUUGUUGAUAACGGGAUGGAGAUUUUGGCGAUAACCCCCAGUUCAGAGGGUCGAAGGUUCUUAUUUUUCAGCCGCAGGCUACCACAAUCUUGAUAACAACAACCUUGCUAUCUCAACGUCGAUUUGCUCGCUCGAUUGCCUCUUCCUCUGAACUGUUAAACGCCCUGUGGACAUAUAAUAAAAAAAAACGUAGCAAAUCUGCCAAAAAGCAGGCACACGUUCACUUCGCAGCAGAUCUUUUUGUCACUCAAUUCUUGUUUCUUGCGAAAUAGAGGUGGGUGGUCGAGCAUCGUGUCAAUUUGUUUGUGGAACAAUGUGCCUUUGAAAAAACACGCAAAUUUUCUCGCGAAAACGCGCCAUAACAAGCGACAUCACGCGAUCCUUAGGAGGUUUCAGUCGCCAGACCGCUCCACGAAUUUAUUCUUCACUGAUUCAAUCAUCCUCUAAUCCAUUUUCCACAUCCGCGAUUAUAGUUAAUUUUGCACGCAGAGCCGCCAGUUGAACUCCUUGUUGUUUUCCGCAUAGAGAGGAGAUAGAAUGAAAACAGACUCCCACUGUUUUAAAGAAAUGUGCAGUCAUGUAGCUUACGCAUGAAGAAACAGUGUGUAAGCCACAGCCAGUGAUUUAACAUCUGCGACAACAUCUAAAAUGAUAGAUUUCUCUUAUAUCUCACUCAAGAAUUUCCCGAGUGCAAAAUUAAGACCUGUGCAUCUUUGACGCAACGAUGCAAAGAAGGCCUUGAGAGUGUAACUUACAUCAACCAUAAAACUUUGGAGUUUGACGGAGCCCUUCUAUUCUGUGUCAUGAUGAUUAGUCAAUUUCAGGAAAUUGAACUGUUCUUAUACGAAACGUGCAAUACGUACAAUUUGAUUAAUUGCUUAUUCAAAAUCGAACGAUUAAACUGUUUUCUACUUAAUCAGUAUACAAGAACGUUCCCCUCUAUUUCCGGACGCGGGGAAAUAAGUAACUGAAACUCAGCCACGGAAGAAGCGACGGUCCAGGUUGUUCGAUCGAAAGACACCGACUAACAAAACGCCAAUCGAACCGUGAAAGUCUGCUUAUUUCUGCUGGAGUUGAUUAUCUAUAAGAUGUCUCAUCUGUCAAGUGUUGGUUUUUGAUGCCGGGUAAUACAAGAAUCAAAGAUCGAGGGAGGCAUUUUGGCAGGGAAUUGUGUUCAAUUAUCAUAAGUUGGAAUCUGGCCCAACUUCAAAUUAAUGAUCUGGCCGAGUUCAAAUGCUUCGUUGUAAAUAAAUAUUGCGUUGGCAAACUCAAUAUGGCAAGGUUAAAGGUCUCUCAUCACAUUAUUACACAAAGGAAAAACAUUUGAGAUCCCACACGGACAGCGAGAAAAAAGAGAAAAAAGUUUCAUGAUGACCAAUUUUAUGCAUUCGUUUUCUUUUCGCUCGCUAACUUUUUGUGACGGAAACUGAUUGAUCAUGCGAAGCAUGGAGCAAGCUGUAUCAACGUCCAUGGCAGCAGUGCAGUAUCUUACAAGAGCAAACGCGCGACUGGCACUUCUCACGGAAAACUAAUAUCACAGCUGAUAAAUAUACAGAUGCAGACAAACCUGCUUGCUAACCAACUAAACAGGCCUCUUCACUGAUACUCAGUCUUCAUCUAACGACGAAAAAAACAUCCAGCUGUUACUUGCCGAUCAACGUGAAAUUCGAAAUUUUAUCAUUUCACCUGCAAACUGUGCAAAGCUGUGCAAAGCUGUGCAAAGCUGUGCAGUCGUAGCAAAUACAGUUGAGCAGUAUUGCGCAACAUCUGUACGGCACGUUUUUGCCCUGAAAAAUGUUACCUCAGCUCAAACAAAUAAAACACAUGCAACCAAAA